CAGUCGAACGCGUCUUGGUUAUUGAUGUUAAGUGCUUGCAUUUAAUUGAUUUAACAUUGAGACGAGUGGCGAACUGGUGAGUAACACGUGGGUAACCUGCCCUUGAAGUAGGGGAUAACACUUGGAAACAGGUGCUAAUACCGUAUAACAACCAAAACCACCUGGUUUUGGUUUAAAAGAUGGCUUCGGCUAUCACUUUAGGAUGGACCCGCGGCGUAUUAGCUUGUUGGUAAGGUAACGGCCUACCAAGGCAAUGAUACGUAGCCGACCUGAGAGGGUAAUCGGCCACAUUGGGACUGAGACACGGCCCAAACUCCUACGGGAGGCAGCAGUAGGGAAUCUUCCACAAUGGACGAAAGUCUGAUGGAGCAACGCCGCGUGAGUGAUGAAGGGUUUCGGCUCGUAAAACUCUGUUGUUGGAGAAGAACAGGUGUGAGAGUAACUGUUCACAUCUUGACGGUAUCCAACCAGAAAGCCACGGCUAACUACGUGCCAGCAGCCGCGGUAAUACGUAGGUGGCAAGCGUUGUCCGGAUUUAUUGGGCGUAAAGCGAGCGCAGGCGGUUUCUUAGGUCUGAUGUGAAAGCCUUCGGCUUAACCGGAGAAGUGCAUCGGAAACCAGGAGACUUGAGUGCAGAAGAGGACAGUGGAACUCCAUGUGUAGCGGUGAAAUGCGUAGAUAUAUGGAAGAACACCAGUGGCGAAGGCGGCUGUCUGGUCUGUAACUGACGCUGAGGCUCGAAAGCAUGGGUAGCGAACAGGAUUAGAUACCCUGGUAGUCCAUGCCGUANACGAUGAGUGCUAAGUGUUGGAGGGUUUCCGCCCUUCAGUACUGCAGCUAACGCAUUAAGCACUCCGCCUGGGGAGUACGACCGCAAGGUUGAAACUCA
rnacentral:rRNA from 1 species